rnacentral:rRNA from 1 species
AGCAGCCGCGGUAAUUCCAGCUCCAAUAGCGUAUAUUAAAGUUGUUGCAGUUAAAAAGCUCGUAGUUGAAUUUCGAGAUCAAAUUGUUGGUCGUGCCUCGGUACGUACUGGCAUUAUUGAUUUCUCCCUUCUGAAGAACCACGAUGUCAUUAAUUUGGUGUCGUGGGGAAUCAGGACUGUUACUUUGAAAAAAUUAGAGUGUUUAAAGCAGGCUCACGCUUGAAUACAUUAGCAUGGAAUAAUGAAAUAGGACGUUUGAUUCUAUUUUGUUGGUUUCUAGGAUCGACGUAAUGAUUAAUAGGGAUAGUUGGGGGCAUUAGUAUUCAAUUGUCAGGGGUGAAAUUCUUGGAUUUAUUGAAGACUAACUACUGCGAAAGCAUUUGCCAAGGAUGUUUUCAUUAAUCAAGAACGAAAGUUAGGGGAUCGAGGACGAUCAGAUACCGUCGUAGU